UAACAGGUCCUAACAGGUUCUGACAGGUCCUGACAGGUUCUGACAGGUCCUGACAGGCCCUGACAGGUCCUAACAGGUCCUGACAGGUCCUGACAGGUUCUAAC